GAAAUGCUCUUUUGAAAACACCUUCUCCUACUAAAAAAGUGUACUCUUGAAACAUUGUCUCAGAGAAUGCAGACACAAGAGAACUGAGCACUAAAAUACCAUGCUUUGUCUCCCUAUUAGUCAGAGAUCUGCUAAGUGGCACAUAAGUAGGAGGAUGCUUUUACUGUCAGCCCACUCUUUUCACAUCCCAGAUACAAGCCUCCUGCCAUGGCUGGAUGGCACUAUGCUUCCCUCCUGGCCCGUCAUCCCUUGUGACAGAGGCAACUGACUGCUCACUCCUCAGCUGGUGACAUCUGGUACAAAAAAGUGGCAAAGACAGUGAGCUGUUCUCCAUCCCAGGAACUACUCACUUCUCCACAGAAGAGCUAGACCAUGGAUCACCCAAGAGACUUAGUAGGAAAAGUUAAAGCUGCAGAUCCAUUGCUCA